rnacentral:rRNA from 1 species
GAUGAACGCUGGCGGCGUGCCUAAUACAUGCAAGUCGAACGCUUUGUAGUUCAACUGAUUUGAAGAGCUUGCUCAGAUAUGACGAUGGACAUUGCAAAGAGUGGCGAACGGGUGAGUAACACGUGGGAAACCUACCUCUUAGCAGGGGAUAACAUUUGGAAACAGAUGCUAAUACCGUAUAACAAUGACAACCGCAUGGUUGUUAUUUAAAAGAUGGUUCUGCUAUCACUAAGAGAUGGUCCCGCGGUGCAUUAGCUAGUUGGUAAGGUAAUGGCUUACCAAGGCGAUGAUGCAUAGCCGAGUUGAGAGACUGAUCGGCCACAAUGGGACUGAGACACGGCCCAUACUCCUACGGGAGGCAGCAGUAGGGAAUCUUCCACAAUGGGCGAAAGCCUGAUGGAGCAACGCCGCGUGUGUGAUGAAGGGUUUCGGCUCGUAAAACACUGUUGUAAGAGAAGAAUGACAUUGAGAGUAACUGUUCAAUGUGUGACGGUAUCUUACCAGAAAGGAACGGCUAAAUACGUGCCAGCAGCCGCGGUAAUACGUAUGUUCCAAGCGUUAUCCGGAUUUAUUGGGCGUAAAGCGAGCGCAGACGGUUAUUUAAGUCUGAAGUGAAAGCCCUCAGCUCAACUGAGGAAUUGCUUUGGAAACUGGAUGACUUGAGUGCAGUAGAGGAAAGUGGAACUCCAUGUGUAGCGGUGAAAUGCGUAGAUAUAUGGAAGAACACCAGUGGCGAAGGCGGCUUUCUGGACUGUAACUGACGUUGAGGCUCGAAAGUGUGGGUAGCAAACAGGAUUAGAUACCCUGGUAGUCCACACCGUAAACGAUGAGUGCUAGGUGUUUGAGGGUUUCCGCCCUUAAGUGCCGCAGCUAACGCAUUAAGCACUCCGCCUGGGGAGUACGACCGCAAGGUUGAAACUCAAAGGAAUUGACGGGGACCCGCACAAGCGGUGGAGCAUGUGGUUUAAUUCGAAGCAACGCGAAGAACCUUACCAGGUCUUGACAUCCCUUGACAACUCCAGAGAUGGAGCGUUCCCUUCGGGGACAAGGUGACAGGUGGUGCAUGGUUGUCGUCAGCUCGUGUCGUGAGAUGUUGGGUUAAGUCCCGCAACGAGCGCAACCCUUAUUACUAGUUGCCAGCAUUCAGUUGGGCACUCUAGUGAGACUGCCGGUGACAAACCGGAGGAAGGUGGGGAUGACGUCAAAUCAUCAUGCCCCUUAUGACCUGGGCUACACACGUGCUACAAUGGCGUAUACAACGAGUUGCCAACCCGCGAGGGUGAGCUAGUCUCUUAAAGUACGUCUCAGUUCGGAUUGUAGGCUGCAAACUCGCCUACAUGAAGUCGGAAUCGCUAGUAAUCGCGGAUCAGCACGCCGCGGUGAAUACGUUCCCGGG